rnacentral:misc_RNA from 1 species
UUCUCCUUCGCGCGAGGAGAGCGUGAAUGCUCAAGUAUUUUGAGAACGUCCGUCUUGUGCGAAUGGCGGACGGUAAAACCUACAAGCUCAUUCGGGAUCUGGGCCUGGUCAAAGGCGGGAAGGGGCUUCGCUGCCACGAAGCGAUCAUGACCUUCCAGCUCAAGCNNNNNNNNNAUCCAUGUUCCGCUAUCGGAGCUGAUCUCGAUGCUGUCGGUCGCGGUGGCCCGGCGUUCGGCCGCUUAACUUUCCACCACGUCUGAAUUUGCAGCCAGCUUGCUCAUUGGCC